rnacentral:rRNA from 1 species
CCUACGGGAGGCAGCAGUGGGGAAUCUUGCGCAAUGGGGGCAACCCUGACGCAGCCAUGCCGCGUGAAUGAUGAAGGCCUUAGGGUUGUAAAGUUCUUUUGCCCGUGACGAUGAUGACGGUAACGGGAGAAUAAGCUCCGGCUAACUUCGUGCCAGCAGCCGCGGUAAUACGAAGGGGGCUAGCGUUGUUCGGAAUUACUGGGCGUAAAGCGCGCGCAGGCGGUUCGAUAAGUUAGGGGUGAAAUCCCUGGGCUCAACCCAGGAAUGGCCUUUAAGACUGUCGAGCUAGAGGACGAGAGAGGUGAGUGGAAUUCCCAGUGUAGAGGUGAAAUUCGUAGAUAUUGGGAAGAACACCGGUGGCGAAGGCGGCUCACUGGCUCGUUUCUGACGCUGAGGCGCGAAAGCGUGGGGAGCAAACAGGAUUAGAUACCCUGGUAGUCCACGCCCUAAACGAUGAGUGCCAGGUGUCGGGAAGCUUAGCUUCUCGGCGCCGCAGCUAACGCCUUAAGCACUCCGCCUGGGGAGUACGGCCGCAAGGUUAAAACUACAAAAGAAUAAUAGACGNGNGAGAGCGACGACGACGACGACGAGGAGGAG